GGAUGUGGGGGUGAUCUGGCUGCAACAUCUGUCACCCCAUUGAUCACCAGGGUUGAUCUGGCUGACCUGGCUGGCUAGGCGGGUGUCCCCUUCCUCCCUCACCGCUCCAUGUGCGUCCCUCCCGAAGCUGCGCGCUCGGUCGAAGAGGACGAACUUCCCCGAUACAGGAGGGCCGUUCUUCAGUCAAGGGUAUAUGAGUAGCUGCGCUCCCCUGUUAGAACCUCCAAACAAGCUCUCAAGGUCCAUGUGUAGGAGAACGUAGGGUAGUCAAGCUUCCAAGACUCCAGACACAUCCAAAUGAGGCGCUGCACGUGGCAGUCUGCCUUUCUAA
rnacentral:snRNA from 1 species